UACGUAGGUGGCAAGCGUUGUCCGGAUUUACUGGGUUUAAAGGGUGUGUAGGCGGGUCUUUAAGUCAGUGGUGAAAUCUCCGAGCUUAACUUGGAAACUGCCAUUGAUACUAUUGAUCUUGAAUUUUGUUGAGGUAGGCGGAAUAAGUCAUGUAGCGGUGAAAUGCAUAGAUAUGACUUAGAACACCAAUUGCGAAGGCAGCUUGCUAAACAAAUAUUGACGCUGAGGCACGAAAGCGUGGGGAUCAAACAGG
rnacentral:rRNA from 1 species